rnacentral:hammerhead_ribozyme from 1 species
AUCUAGCUGACGAGUCCCAAAUAGGACGAAACGCGCAUACACUAAUUAUAUUUUCUUAAAU